rnacentral:misc_RNA from 1 species
GGAAGUAAAGUCGUAACAAGGUUUCCGUAGGUGAACCUGCGGAAGGAUCAUUCAUAAUAAGUGUUUUAUGGCACUUUUUUAAAUCCAUAUCCACCUUGUGUGCAAUGUCAGGGUUGAUUUUUCACUCGAGAGGAUCAGCCCCAAACAUCAACUAUAUCUCAACUCUUUGUCUGAAAAAUAUUAUGAAUAAAACAAUUCAAAAUACAACUUUCAACAACGGAUCUCUUGGCUCUC